rnacentral:misc_RNA from 1 species
UUAUUCUCAGACUUCAAAGGUUUGUUGAAGACUUUUGAAGCUUUGGAUAUGGGGGGAUUUUGCUGGUGAAUCUUUAUUGCCGGCUCCUCUAAAAUGCAUCAGUGGAGAGAACAUUUGUUCUUGGCUCUGGUUUGAUAAUAUCUAUGCCAUUGCUUUGAACACGGCUUUUCCACGAAGAUGUCCUAUUUGGACAAGCUUGUUGAAAA